AACAGAUGCUAAUACCGAAUAAAACUUAGUGUCGCAUGACACAAAGUUAAAAGGCGCUUCGGCGUCACCUAGAGAUGGAUCCGCGGUGCAUUAGUUAGUUGGUGGGGUAAAGGCCUACCAAGACAAUGAUGCAUAGCCGAGUUGAGAGACUGAUCGGCCACAUUGGGACUGAGACACGGCCCAAACUCCUACGGGAGGCUGCAGUAGGGAAUCUUCCACAAUGGGCGAAAGCCUGAUGGAGCAACGCCGCGUGUGUGAUGAAGGCUUUCGGGUCGUAAAGCACUGUUGUAUGGGAAGAACAGCUAGAAUAGGAAAUGAUUUUAGUUUGACGGUACCAUACCAGAAAGGGACGGCUAAAUACGUGCCAGCAGCCGCGGUAAUACGUAUGUCCCGAGCGUUAUCCGGAUUUAUUGGGCGUAAAGCGAGCGCAGACGGUUUAUUAAGUCUGAUGUGAAAGCCCGGAGCUCAACUCCGGAAUGGCAUUGGAAACUGGUUAACUUGAGUGCAGUAGAGGUAAGUGGAACUCCAUGUGUAGCGGUGGAAUGCGUAGAUAUAUGGAAGAACACCAGUGGCGAAGGCGGCUUACUGGACUGCAACUGACGUUGAGGCUCGAAAGUGUGGGUAGCAAACAGGAUUAGAUACCCUGGUAGUCCACACCGUAAACGAUGAACACUAGGUGUUAGGAGGUUUCCGCCUCUUAGUGCCGAAGCUAACGCAUUAAGUGUUCCGCCUGGGGAGUACGACCGCAAGGUUGAAACUCAAAGGAAUUGACGGGGACCCGCACAAGCGGUGGAGCAUGUGGUUUAAUUCGAAGCAACGCGAAGAACCUUACCAGGUCUUGACAUCCUUUGAAGCUUUUAGAGAUAGAAGUGUUCUCUUCGGAGACAAAGUGACAGGUGGUGCAUGGUCGUCGUCAGCUCGUGUCGUGAGAUGUUGGGUUAAGUCCCGCAACGAGCGCAACCCUUAUUGUUAGUUGCCAGCAUUCAGAUGGGCACUCUAGCGAGACUGCCGGUGACAAACCGGAGGAAGGCGGGGACGACGUCAGAUCAUCAUGCCCCUUAUGACCUGGGCUACACACGUGCUACAAUGGCGUAUACAACGAGUUGCCAACCCGCGAGGGUGAGCUAAUCUCUUAAAGUACGUCUCAGUUCGGAUUGUAGUCUGCAACUCGACUACAUGAAGUCGGAAUCGCUAGUAAUCGCGGAUCAGCACGCCGCGGUGAAUACGUUCCCGGGUCUUGUACACACCG
rnacentral:rRNA from 1 species